rnacentral:antisense_RNA from 1 species
GGCUGCGUCUAAUACCACCUCCACCCCUCAUCCCUCACAAUGCGCGGAAAACCACAGGCGGCUGUGCGCGCAGCGUCGGCUCAGCCACCGCAGCUCCUCCCCUGGGAUGAAAAAGCACUCUGACGUCUUGAAAGCUGGCAGCUCUCUGUUUAGAAAAUCUCUGCCCAGUGAAAAAAUGUACCGACAAGAUUACUAAGUAACACAGUCUUCUGGGAAUGCCUUAUCAAUGCCAGCUAUUUGAAGAGCACCCAAAGUCAAACUAGUGCUCCGCGCUGGCAGUCUGGAAAAGGCAGAUGUAUGUGAGUAGAGAAACUGAUAGACAACUAGUUGCUGGCCAGUUGGCCUGUUUUCAUGCUACAAGCCUUCAGAAAGCAGUCGCCUCCUUUUACCACGUUUCUAUUUCUAAACCAAAAUGAAAAGGACGUUUGUUCAAAAGAUA